AAAAAUGCAGGAUAAAAUUUGUUCGUUCAAGACUUCGUUUUCAAGAAUAUGAUAUUUGAACGUGUCCAGUUAAGAAUUGGCUUGAUACAUGCGUACUUGAUUCAAAUUUCAUUUUCUCGGAAGCGUCUACGAGCAAAUUUGAUCUCCAACACAUCUUCAACUUAUUUUCGUACGUAGUAUAUUCUUAUCGACUGUUCACUUCUGUCCAAUUCGGAAUUGGCCAAGUUCAAGUAUACGAGACAAGUUUUCAUACUCGGUUCUCUAGAAAAUGAAACGUCACAUGUUCUUCCAUAUUUCCAAAUUGUUUUUUCAUGUAGAAUCGCCCCCUUACCGAUUGUACCGCGAUUGCUGGGGUACCCUAUACAUUAUUGCGUUCGAAAUUUCGAAGUGAAUCACACUAAAAGCAAACCAUCGAAAAAUUAACGAUGUAUCUCGAAAACGCGAUAGUUUACUAUCUAGUGAAGUUUAUAUGAGAUAAGGAAAACAAAUAAAAACGGAAUUUACAAAGGAUCUGGAACGGAUCGAAUUUCUUCAAGCAGUUCAAACAAUUGAUUCAACGAAUCACGCAACGCCCACUUAAAUUUCGACUAGAUAUAUUCGCCCAUCUCGUUCUUUGAAGUACCACACGGAAAAUUUUUAAAAAGCGAAGAAGCCCUCUAUGGAUACUUCAAACAUCUGAUGUCACUAUCAUGGAUUUUCGGUUUGGUCGACUUUUUUGUUCGAGUCCGAUGACUUAUGGCUGGCAAUGUAGGGGCAUAACAGGAUGCUCGUGCUUCUCCGAUGAGCACGAAAACGUUUACCGUACACGCUGCGACAAUCCUCUAUUAUGCACGCGUGGCAAUAGAAUGAAAGUCAUUGUUCGCAAGGAAAGACGUCAACGACAGGAAUACAAAUUACAUAUUUUCACCGAUAACAAAAUAUUAAAUCGGAAGCUUAUUUAAUGUUGAUGGAAAACUACCAAAUCGCUAAUUCAUACAAUAAAAUGCAUUCUUAAGCUAUGUUUCAUUAAAUGCAUCUUCUAUAAUGUAUGUUUCAUUCAAUUAAAUAUAUUUCCUAAUUUAAACAAUUUCUAUAGUUUUCACAGAAUUACACAUAGCUAAUACUAAGUAAUUAAUUCAGUUAAAAAUAUUUCCUAAUUUGCACUAACUGUAGCUUCUAUACUAUGUAAUACAAAAUUACGUAUAGUUAAUGCUCAGUGAGUGAUUCGAUUAAAUACAUUUUCUAAUUUCACCUAGAAUUAUUUACUUUAAUGCUUAUAUAACUAUAAAAAGACAACUUAUUGAUAUAGUUACUCUACAUAUGUAUAUUUUCGUGUUAAAUUGAAAUACAGAAAUGCAAUACAAGAAGAAAAACACGAUGGAA